CCUACGGGCGGCAGCAGUGAGGGAUAUUGGUCAAUGGGGGAAACCCUGAACCAGCAACGCCGCGUGAAGGAAGACGGUUUUCGGAUUGUAAACCUCUGUCCACUGUGAAGAUGAUGACGGUAGCAGAGCAGGUAGCUCCGGCUAACUACAUGCAAGCACCCGCGGCAAUACGCAGGGAGCAAGCGUUGUCCGGAUUUACUGGGUGUAAAGGGUGCGUAGACGGCUUUGAAAGUCAGUCGUGAAAUUCCAGGGCUCAACCGUGGAACUGCGUUUGAAACUGUUAGUCUUGAGUGCUGGUGAGGCAGGCGGAAUUCGGUGUGUAGCGGUGAAAUGCGUAGAUAUCCCGAAGAACACCAGUGGCGAAGGCAGCCUACUGAACAUUCACUGACGCUGAGGCGCGAAAGCGUGGGGAGCAAACAGGAUUAGAUACCCCUGUAGUC
rnacentral:rRNA from 1 species